GAUCCUGGUUCAGGAUGAACGCUAGCUACAGGCUUAACACAUGCAAGUCGCGGGGCAGCAUGAAGGAUGCUUGCAUCCUUUGAUGGCGACCGGCGCACGGGUGAGUAACGCGUAUCCAACCUGCCUGUUACCACGGCACAGCCCGUCGAAAGGCGGAUUAAUGCCGUAUGUGGUCCUUUGCGGGCAUCUAAUUAGGACUAAAGGUUCGGCGGUAACGGAUGGGGAUGCGUCCGAUUAGCUAG
rnacentral:rRNA from 1 species